AUUGAACGCUGGCGGCAGGCUUAACACAUGCAAGUCGAGCGGAAACGAUGGGAGCUUGCUCCCAGGCGUCGAGCGGCGGACGGGUGAGUAAUACUUAGGAAUCUGCCCAGUAGUGGGGGAUAGCUCGGGGAAACUCGAAUUAAUACCGCAUACACCCUACGGGGAAAAGGGGCGCUUGCGCUCUCGCUAUUGGAUGAGCCUAAGUCGGAUUAGCUAGUUGGUGGGGUAAAGGCCUACCAAGGCGACGAUCUGUAGCUGGUCUGAGAGGAUGAUCAGCCACACCGGAACUGAGACACGGUCCGGACUCCUACGGGAGGCAGCAGUGGGAAUAUUGGACAAUGGGGGAACCCUGAUCCAGCCAUGCCGCGUGUGUGAAGAAGGCCUUUUGGUUGUAAAGCACUUUAAGCAGUGAAGAAGACCUAGUGGUUAAUACCCAUUAGCGAUGACAUUAGCUGCAGAAUAAGCACCGGCUAACUCUGU
rnacentral:rRNA from 1 species